rnacentral:rRNA from 1 species
GCUAAACGCGAAGAACCUUACCAAGGCUUGACAUGGAUUUCUAAGCACGUGAAAGCGUGUGACCCUUCGGGGGACUUCCACAGGUGCUGCAUGGCCGUCGUCAGCUCGUGUCGUGAGAUGUUGGGUUAAGUCCCGCAACGAGCGCAACCCUUGUGAACAGUUGCCAGCGCGUCAUGGCGGGAACUCUGUUCAGACUGCCCAGAUCAACUGGGAGGAAGGUGGGGACGACGUCAGGUCAGUAUGGCCCUUACGCCUUGGGCUGCACACGUACUACAAUGCCCAGCACAAUGAGAACCGAUGCCGCGAGGUGGAGGAAAUCUGCAAAACUGGGCUCAGUUCGGAUUGGAGGCUGCAACUCGCCUCCAUGAAGUUGGAAUCGCUAGUAAUCGUGUAUCAGCAUGGCACGGUGAAUACGUUCCCGGGUCUUGUACACACCG